rnacentral:rRNA from 1 species
UACGAAGGGGGCUAGCGUUGCUCGGAAUUACUGGGCGUAAAGCGCUCGUAGGCGGAUCUUUAAGUCAGGGGUGAAAUCCUGGAGCUCAACUCCAGAACUGCCUUUGAUACUGAGGACCUUGAGUUCGGGAGAGGUGAGUGGAACUGCGAGUGUAGAGGUGAAAUUCGUAGAUAUUCGCAAGAACACCAGUGGCGAAGGCGGCUCACUGGCCCGAUACUGACGCUGAGGUGCGAAAGCGUGGGGAGCAAACAGG